rnacentral:rRNA from 1 species
GACAGAGGAGGCAAGCGUUGUUCGGAAUCAUUGGGCUUAAAGCGCGCGUAGGCGGCCUUGUAAGUGUCUUGUGAAAUCCCACGGCUCACCCGUGGAACUGCAGGGCAAACUGCAAGACUUGAGGUCGGUAGAGGCGCCUGGAACUCUAGGUGGAGCGGUGAAAUGCGUAGAGAUCUAGGGGAACGCCGGAGGCGAAAGCGGGGCGCUGGGCCGAUGCUGACGAUGAUGCGCGAAAGAGUGGGGAGCAAACAGG